CAGCUACGUUAUGGCAAAUGCAAUCUGCCCUGUUACCAUUGUCAAGGAUCAUAGUGCUUGAUUAAGAAUGUGUACCUCUAAAACGAGCUUGAUGAGGGAGAUAAAUGGAUGUUGUACUGCUUGUUGCUAAAUGUUAAUGAUCUUGAAUUAUGUGCCUCCCAAUUUGCAUGUAUCCAAUAAUUUAAUCUUUGUUUGUAUGAAACUACUCUUGUUGUAUCAGUUUGAAUAAUGAACUUGAAUUAUGUGCCUCCCAAUUUGCAUUUUCUUUUAGUUGAAUUGAUAAAAAAUCUUCUUGAUAUCUGUACAAGUUCAAAAUUCUAAAAUUCUAAAAUUCUAAAAACCUAAUAUUCCUUUUUCUCCCAACUUUUUUUUCCUCCAACUAUGUGGCACUCAAUAUUGCACACUACCUUAGGAUUGAAAACCAAAAAAUCAUAUCGUUAAACCUCGUGUGAUGGCGUCAUUUUACUUAGAGAAACAAGUAGGAGAAUUAUACUACAUGACCUCGCUUAAUGAGCGAUAAAUCUUCUGGUGUCAAACCUAAACCUUGCAUAAAUAUAUAUAGGGUAAAAGACUGUUUACUACCCUCAUGUUUCGUGGUUUUCAACAUUUAGUACAUCAUGUUUUUUUCGUCUCAGAGUCAUACCUAAAGUGUAAAUUUUGGGACAGUCUCAUACAUCCGUUAGUCAAACUGUUAAGUUUUUCGUUAACUGUGACGUGGCGCACUGACUGGGCGCCACGUGUCAUCCACGUUUUUUUUUCUUUUUUUUUUCUUUUCUUUUCUUCUUCUUCCUUCUUCUUCUUCUUCUUCCUCCGACUGCAACUUUCUGUUUUUUUUUUUUUUUUUUGCUUCUUCCUUUCCCUUUCUUCCCCUUCUUCCUUCUUCUUCCUUCUUCUUCCUCCGAAAUCUGGGGAAUGUUUUUUUUUUUUCUUUCUUCUUCUUCCUCCUUCUUCCUUCCCCUUCUUCCUUCUUCUUCCUUCUCCUUCUUCUUCUUCUUCUUCUUCCUCCGAAAUCUGGGGAAGUUUGUUUUUUUUUUUUUUUCUUUCUUUCUUCUUCUUCCUCCUUCUUCUUCUUCUUCUUCCUCAAAAAAAAAAAAAAAAACACUUUUAUCUUUUCUUCCUCUUCUUCUUCUUCUUCUUUCUCUUUCCUCCUUUCUUCUUCUUCUUCUUCUUCCUCCGAAUCUGCCCACAUUCAAUUUUUUUUUUCCUUCCUCCUUCUUCUCCUUCUUCCUUCCCCUUCUUCGUUCUUCUUCUUCUUCCUCCGAAUUUGGGGGAAGAUGAAAGUGUUUUUUUUUUUUUUUUUUUUUUGAGGAAGAAGAAGAAGAAGAAGAAGAAAGAAAAAAAAAAAAAUAUUCCCCAGAUUUCGGAGGAAGAAGAAGGAAGGAAGAAGAAGAAAGAAAAAAAAAAAUAUUCCCCAGAUUUCGGAGGAAGAAGAAGGAAGGAGGAAGGAAGGAGGAAGCAAAAAAAAAAAAAAAAAAAGCAGAAAGUUGCAGUCGGAGGAAGAGGAAGAAGAAGGAAGAAGAAGAAAAG
rnacentral:lncRNA from 1 species